rnacentral:lncRNA from 1 species
UUUGUUGUUUCUGAACCGGCGAUAUAUUUGGAAGAGCAAUGACUCUAGACUAAGAACUAGUUGAUUCUUAUUAACCAAGUUUAUAUGUCAACUCGAUCUCGUAUUCAGGUAACUAGGUUGCUAGAAGAAAUAUAACUCUAGACAAGAACUAGGUUAUUGUUGGUAACCAAGUAAUGAUAUCUGCCCAUGCAUCUCGACCAAGCGUUUCGUUCCAUGGGGUGAUGAUGCAUGCUUCAUCAUCGAACUCAUAUACAAUGAUUGUGAGGGGGAGAACAGGCGCGUAGCUUGUCUUAAAUUAGAAUAAUUCUUCCGAAACACAAGAGAUAAUGAUCUUCAAGACAUUACCAUUAUGUACAUAUUUACAAUAUAGUUCUUCAUCUAACUAUUUUGUUAAUGUGAUGUGAUUAUAACGCACAAUCUUUUUUUUCAUUCAUCAAAAUCACGAUAGUUCUUUGAAAACUAAUUCUUUGUUGACCAAGUGAUUAGCGAUUUUGUAAACAAAUGCGGUAAACACAUCACUCUAAUUCAUAAAAGAAUGAUCAUGAACACAUACUCGUACCAGAAAUUCAAGGGACGGAUUGAUUUUUGGUAAGAGGUAGAUAUGUGAAAGCUACAAAUAUACGCUAACAUAGCUACCAUCAAAACUUGUCUAUUACAAUAACGGGCUAACUAGUCUAUAUACAUGAGCACAGAAAUUCGUUGCAAACAUUUCAAAAUAGAAAAUCUUAGCAUUGCCUUUUUAACAUGUAACUUUGCUACAUCAGUUGAGACAAACCUUUCCAUCUGAAACUAUCAGAAUGUAAAUAUGCGGUCUUCUGCUACGAUCUUGGAAAACCCACAAAUCAGUAUCCUCGUUAGUUUGUCGCCAUUUAAGGUUUUAACAGUGCUGAAAUGAACUAAAUAUCGGCUAACAAUAUAUUUGCUACAGGCAGCUUAAGCUUAACCAGUUUAGCUACUUAUCCAAACAACUUUAUGACACUAGUAGAACUUUAAGGAAAAAAAACACAUAAACUUGUAAGGUUCAAUGUUCUUGUUUUAGAACAAUUAUACUUUUAAGCUGAAGGUCAAAAUUUAACUGGUUCCCGUGCUUGAGAUUUUCAAAUUUUACGGGUAACUGUUGAUUGAGCUCACAACUUCUAAAUAGUGCAACAAAUAUACGCAUACAUACCACAUUGUCUUAAUGAGGAUCCAUGACAUUUCUUAAAACAUGUUACCAAUUUGCGUGUUUCUUGUUUCAACCACCUGAUGACGUGUGUAUAUCUCUUUUUUCAAAAAUGGAAGGACUGUGGCGAUGGAGGAAGCAUUGAACACAGUGGAUUUUCCUAACCCUUAAUUAUGCUUCACUAAUACUACCUUAAAUAUUUUGUAUGAUCAAGCUACGAAGUAAUGAAAUUCUGUGGAGGAAGAUAAACAUCAUAAGAUAUGUUC